rnacentral:SRP_RNA from 1 species
CCGCGCUAGAUGGGGAGCUGGCGGUUCCCUGCACCGGCAAUCCGCCACAGCCGGGUCGAAUUCCCCGCCGAGGUCCGGCUUCUCAGGCCGGGCCGGGUUGGAAGGCGCUGAAGGCCGGGACCUGCGCAGCUCGGGUCUCCGAACCCCGUCAGGUCCGGAAGGAAGCAGCGGUAAGGAGAGUUCCCGGGGGUGCCGCAACCACCCUGGCUGGAGCUGGAAAGCCCGGUGCCGCUGGGAGGUCGCGAUCGAAGCGGGGUGCGCGG